GGUCAAGGUACAUGAAAACUUAGAAAAAGUCCACCGGAUUGGACGCCAGAGAAACUCUUAAUGCCAGGAUUCUCAACGGCACUGUUGACAUUUGGGGUGGAUGACUCUGCGUUGUGCGGCCCAUCCUGGGCCUUAGAGGGUGUUUAGAAAAUCCUGACCUUUACUCUCUAGAUGCUGGUAGCACCCCACCCCCCGCCGUGACAACGAAAAUUGUUUCCAACAUUGCCUGCUGUCCCCUGGAGGGCAAAAUCACACCCGGUUGAGAACUCCUGCCUUGGCAGUGUUUUGGCAGGUGCAGAAGACCUGAUGACUCCAGGGACCCGAAGGGAGUGUUGAGACCCAAGAUGGAAAGGGCCUGGGACCCUGAAUGACUUGCCAACCCUCCAUGAUUGUGACAUGAACAAGAAAUAAACUUCGACGGUGUUAAGCUACUGAGAUUUUAGGUUGUUACCGCAGCAGAGUGUACCCUGACGUCAACCGUGGCCAACUUAAGCAAAAGCUUUGUCUGGAGCCCGGAAGCAGCUACCCAGGUCCUUCUCCUGGUCUCCUUGUGUCCUCGUGCUGACGGGGACCCUGGGUUUGCUGUCUUCUUAGUGUCACCUUACUGGACUUGGUGCUGCUCUGGCUGUCCUGGCCAGUUGUGGGCACUUCUUUUGUAUCAUGCAUCAUGUUCUGGCAACAGGUCUGGCGUCUUUCUGGGAACUAAGUCACCUUACUCCGUGCCUGGUUUGGGUUUGGCUUCUCCGGUCUCAAACAACAGCUUGGAUUCCUACCUCACGCCAUACACCAAAAUAAAU